rnacentral:rRNA from 1 species
CCUACGGGAGGCAGCAGUGAGGAAUAUUGCUCAAUGAACGAAAGUCUGAACCAGCCAUGUAGCGUGAAUGAUGACUGCCCUAUGGGUUGUAAACUUCUUUUAUAUGGGAAUAAAAUGUUCCACGUGUGGGAUUUUGUAUGUACCAUAUGAGUAAGGAUCGGCUAACUCCGUGCCAGCAGCCGAGGUAAUACGGAGGAUCCGAGCGUUAUCCGGAUUUAUUGGGUUUAAAGGGAGCGUAGGUGGAUUGUUAAGUCAGUUGUGAAAGUUUGCGGCUCAACCGUAAAACUGCAGUUGAUACUGGCAGUCUUGAGUACAGUAGAGGUGGGCAGAAUUCGUGGUGUAGCGGUGAAAUGCUUAGAGAUCAGGAAGAACACCGAUUGCGAAGGCAGUUCACUGGAC